rnacentral:rRNA from 1 species
UACGGGGGGGGCGAGCGUUGUUCGGAAUUACUGGGCGUAAAGGGCGCGUAGGCGGUUCGCUAAGUUGGAUGUGAAAACUCUGGGCUCAACCCAGAGCCUGCAUCCAAAACUGGCGGGCUAGAGUUCUGGAGGGGGUAGCGGAAUUCCUGGUGUAGCGGUGAAAUGCGUAGAUAUCAGGAGGAACACCGGUGGCGAAGGCGGCUACCUGGACAGAAACUGACGCUGAGGCGCGAAAGCUAGGGGAGCAAACAGG